GAUGAACGCUGGCGGCGUGCCUAAUACAUGCAAGUCGAGCGAACAGACGAGGAGCUUGCUCCUUUGACGUUAGCGGCGGACGGGUGAGUAACACGUGGGUAACCUACCUAUAAGACUGGGAUAACUUCGGGAAACCGGAGCUAAUACCGGAUAAUAUUUCGAACCGCAUGGUUCGAUAGUGAAAGAUGGCUUUGCUAUCACUUAUAGAUGGACCUGCGCCGUAUUAGCUAGUUGGUAAGGUAACGGCUUACCAAGGCAACGAUUCGUAGCCGACCUGAUAGGGUGAUCGGCCACACUGGAACUGAGCCGCGGUCCAGACUCCUACGGGAGGCAGCAGUAGGGAAUCUUCCGCAAUGGGCGAAAGCCUGACGGAGCAACGCCGCGUGAGUGAUGAAGGUCUUCGGAUCGUAAAACUCUGUUAUGAGUGAAGAACAAACGUGUAAGUAACUGUGCACGUCUUGACGGUACCUAAUCAGAAAGCCACGGCUAACUACGUG
rnacentral:rRNA from 1 species